GUGCUCUGUGCAGCACAUAUAGUAAAACUGACAAUACGGGAAGGAUUAGCAUGGCCCCUGUACAAGUUGGGAUGAAAUUUGUGAAGAGUUGAAAAAAAAAAGU
ensembl:snRNA U6 U6 spliceosomal RNA